rnacentral:other from 1 species
UAUGCCCUGCUUUUGCGCGUAUACGGCAAUAAAUCUUUCACCAACGCCUAUAUAUUAGGAGCUCAAUAUCUAAUCGAAUACUGCAUUGUCUGGAAACAGAAUAGCGGGAAGCGGUUGUGAGAGCACCUACCUGGAUAACAGGUAUAAAGAUUUAUGCCAGUGACGGCUUAAGCGGGGUUUUU